GACGAACGCUGGCGGCGUGGAUUAGGCAUGCAAGUCGAACGGUAUCAUCCUUUCGGGGGUGAGAGAGUGGCGAACUGGUGAGUAACACGUAGGUUAUCUACCCUCAAGACGGGGACAACCCAGGGAAACUUGGGCUAAUACCGGAUGUGAGCAACUUUUAGUUGUUUGAAAGGUGGCGUAAGCUGUCGCUUGGGGAUGAGCCUGCGUCCUAUUAGUUAGUUGGUGAGGUAAGAGCUCACCAAGGCGAUGAUAGAUAGGCGGCCUUAACGGGUGGUCGCCCACACUGGGAUUGAGAUACGGCCCAGACUCCUACGGGAGGCAGCAGUCGAGAAUAGUCUACAAUGGCCGGAAGGCUGAUAGUGCGACGCCGCGUGAACGAGGGAGCCCUUCGGGGUGUAAAGUUCUUUUAUUACGUGAGCAGUGUCCUUUAUAUUAAUAGUAUAAGGGAGAGAUAUUAGCGUAUGAAUAAGCAACGGCUAACUCCGUG
rnacentral:rRNA from 1 species